UUGAGGCUCUGCUUUCAACAUAUGAACUAUGAGUUUAGAGCUCCAUAGUACUUGCCUCUCGACCCUCUCAAUCUCGGAUUCGGGUAAUUUCUCUUUUUUCCUAAAAUGUAAUGGGGUUAAUUUACUUGCACAGUAUCCAGAACAAGACGUUCUAAGUUUUUGGUUAGUAAUUAAGGCAAUUCUCAGUUUUGAUUUUGUUGCUUGCAAUUCUGUUUGGUAUUUGUUGCUUGCAGUUUUGUUGUUAUUUUCUUCUGCUGAUUACUUCUUCUAAAUAUAUUGCAGAGAAACUGGGGCCUUGUGUGCAAUGAAAAAAGUUGAUCUCAUUCCUCAUGAUCCUAAAUCUGCAGAAAGUAUAAAGCAAUCGGAAAAUGCUUUAGUUACAUGGUGUUUCUUCAAUGUUGCUGGUUGCCUCGUUUGCAGGAGAUCCAAUAGAGUUGCUGAAGAGAGCGAAAAAGCAAAACUAAAUUUGCCAAGUGAUUCAUCUGUAACGAGACUGGUCACCUGAGCAAGGGCUGUCCUAAGAACCCUCAUGGGAUUUAUCCAAAGCGGAUGAUGCGAUUUGGGACUUGCCUGCCGGUUCUCCCAUCCUAGUCUGGUAUCUAUGUGACCGAUUGUACAAAAUGUACAAGUCGCAGUUUAUUGGAGGUCAGAAAGAGAAAUUUCUGAGGUAUGGAAUCUACAUUAUACUUUAUACUACUGCUCGUACAUCAACUGGUCUUGAAGAUAUUUAGCAUCUCUCAAAUAACAAACUUGUAGUAUGGUAAGAGAAACUUUGGUUUCAUAUGUCUAUUUAAUGUCUAUUUACUUAGCCAAAGCUUGCUUUACACCUUUCAACUUAUAGUUAAUUAGUAUGCCUAUUUGAUGUCUACUGCAUAGGUGGCAUGGAAACUUGUUCACAGUUUGUAAGUGAAUAAUAUUAGUUGUGGAUCACAAUUCUGGUUUCUUAUCCUUUUUCUGGGUUUUAUCUUUUGCAGGUGUGCUCCCAAGGUAUUUUAGCUCAGAAUGGUCAGUGGCCAAAUUUCACUUGCAGGAAGGUCUGCAGCAUAUUGUUGCCUUUGGCAAGCAGAAGAAUACCAUCAUGAUCAUUGGCAUGGAUGGAAGCAGAAAAUGAUGCAAAAAAUGAAGAGGCUGAUAUUGAGGAGCUCAUCAAAGCAGUUGCAGAUCAGGUGGCAAAGUAAUUGUCAAUGGAACAGCAGUUGGAAUGAUAUCUAGGAAUAUGGUUUUAUAUCAGCUUUUGAUUCAACUGUAGCUAGCUAGGAAUGAUUUCUUGUUUGGUACAUUAUCUAGUUACUUGAAUGUAUGGAUGUUUGAAAAAUGGUAAUUGAAUUAUAUGGAUUAGAUUAUUAUUUUUGUGGUAACUACUAUCCAAUAUUCAGUCAUACAACACAAUACAAAACAAUGUGUUGUAUGACUGCAAAAGAGUUCAAAAUUAAGGCUUCUCCUAUAACAGUCAUUGGCUGUUAGCAAAUUUGAUUACAAUAUUCACACCAUAGCUAACCAAAUGUAGCUGUUGUGUGAACUAACAACCAACAACAAAAUAAACAAAAUUCUGUCGUGUGAGAUUGAUAACACACAACAGAAAUAAAAUUGUCUCUAUUGUCUGAAUGCAAUAACAAACAAGGGAGAUAAUUUCACUUUGGUUGUCUGUUACUUAUCUCAGACAACAAAGAAUGAGUUAUAUCUGUUGUGUGUUUUGAGUCUCAGACAACAAAGAAAGAGUUAUAGUUGUUGUGUGUUAUGAAUCUCAGACAACAAUUAAUGAGUUAUAAUUGUUGUAUGUUAUGUGUCUCAGACAACAAAGAGAUAAUUAUAGCUGUUGUGUGUUAUUGAUCUCAAACAACAAAGAAUGAAUCAUAGCUGUUGUGUGUUAUGUGUCUCAGGCAACAAAGAUUGAAUUAUAGCUGUUGUGUGUUAUUGAUCUCAAACAACAAAGAAUGAAUCAUAGCUGUUGUGUCUUAUGAAUCUCACACAACAAAGAAAGAAUUAUAGCUAUUGUGUGUUAUGAAUCUCAGACGACAGCAGAAAUUAUCUUCUGUUGUCUGAAUGGCGAGCACAUCCCUGCACAUGCCAUGACAGGCACCUGCUGCGCAGAAUUCACACAACGGAAAAAUAGCUAUUCUGUUGAGCCAACUACUAUCAGACAACGGUGGAAUUACCGUUGUGUGAUUCUUCAAUCACACAACACUAACUUAGACAACGGUGGACUUCUUCAUCAGACAACAGAAAUCCACCAUUGUCUGAUGAACUUUUUGUAGUAGUGAAUACUCCCACCGAGAGUUUAGGUGCUAUCUAAUAAUAGGAAUAUCUCCACAAAAGGAUGCUUAAUCACGUUGAGAAAUCUACGAAAUCUAAUAGGAAUAUCUACACAAACAUAUCUCCUAA